GGGCCCGCACAAGCGGUGGAGCAUGUGGUUUAAUUCGAUGAUACGCGAGGAACCUUACCAGGGCUUAAAUGUAGUGGGACAGGUCUAGAGAUAGACCCUUCUUCGGACUCAUUACAAGGUGCUGCAUGGUUGUCGUCAGCUCGUGCCGUGAGGUGUCAGGUUAAGUCCUAUAACGAGCGCAACCCCUAUCGUUAGUUGCCAGCGGGUAAUGCCGGGAACUCUAACAAGACUGCCGGUGCAAACCGUGAGGAAGGUGGGGAUGACGUCAAAUCAUCACGGCCCUUAUGCCUAGGGCUACACACGUGCUACAAUGGCGUAUACAAAGGGUAGCGAACCAGUGAUGGUAAG
rnacentral:rRNA from 1 species